CCUACGGGAGGCAGCAGUGAGGAAUAUUGGUCAAUGGCCGGAAGGCUGAAUCAGCCAUGCCGCGUGAAGGUCAGUGCCCUAUGGGCGUUAAACUUCUUUUGUGCGGGAGCAAUAAUGGUCACGUGUGGCCAGACGAGAGUACCGUACGAAUAAGCAUCGGCUAACUCCGUGCCAGCAGCCGCGGUAAUACGGGGGAUGCAAGCGUUAUCCGGAUUUAUUGGGUUUAAAGGGUGCGUAGGCUGUGAGGUAAGUCAGCGGGGAAAUGCCCCCGCUCAACGGGGUGAAGUGCCAUUGAUACUGCCUUGCUGGAAUGCGGAUGCCGUGGGAGGAAUGUGUGGUGUAGCGGUGAAAUGCAUAGAUAUCACACAGAACACCGAUUGCGAAGGCAUCUCACGAAUCCGCGAUUGACGCUGAUGCACGAAAGCGUGGGUGUCAAACAGGAUUAGAUACCCUAGUAGUC
rnacentral:rRNA from 1 species